CAUUUGAAUUUCUCCUAUUCCAAUUUCCAUGUCUUGCAACUCUGGAUCAAUUUGUCCCAUUGUCCUUCCACAAUCCGUAAGAUGUGUUCUUUUUCUUUUGUCCAAGCUUCAUAUUAGUGAAUCAAUUUUUACUCCAAUACCAACUUAGAUUCUCUAAGUGCUUGGAUAGUCCGUUCUUGCUCUUCAAUUCUUCAAUUUUGAUCCAAUAUCACAUUUUUGCUGUCUUCCAAAUCCCGUUUGUUACUACCUUAUUUUUACCACUAUUUUCUUUAUUUGUAGCUUAUUUUGUACUUUUA
rnacentral:lncRNA from 1 species